CCUACGGGAGGCAGCAGUGAGGAAUAUUGGUCAAUGGACGAGAGUCUGAACCAGCCAAGUAGCGUGAAGGAUGACUGCCCUAUGGGUUGUAAACUUCUUUUAUAUGGGAAUAAAACAUGGUAUGCAUACCCUCUUGUAUGUACCAUAUGAAUAAGGAUCGGCUAACUCCGUGCCAGCAGCCGCGGUAAUACGGAGGAUCCGAGCGUUAUCCGGAUUUAUUGGGUUUAAAGGGAGCGUAGGGGGAUUGUUAAGUCAGUGGUGAAAGUUUGCGGCUCAACCGUAAAAUUGCAGUUGAAACUGGCAGUCUUGAGUACAGUAGAGGUGGGUGGAAUUCGUGGUGUAGCGGUGAAAUGCUUAGAUAUCACGAAGAACUCCGAUUGCGAAGGCAGCUUACUGGACUGCAACUGACACUGAUGCUCGAAAGUGUGGGUAUCAAACAGGAUUAGAUACCCCAGUAGUC
rnacentral:rRNA from 1 species